rnacentral:tRNA from 1 species
GCUUGUAACUGAUUUAGCAUUUGAUUUGAAAUCAAAUUGAUUGUUUUUAUUAACAAUACUAGCU